GCCAUACCAACGUCACGCACUCGCUGAAACAGUUUCAUUUCAGACGAUCUAGAGAUCAGUACAAAAUAGUCGCCAUCUGAAGGACCAUGAAGCUGAUGUUGACCCUUCUCAUCUUUGCCAUUUCUGGCCUUUUGGUGCCAGACAGUACAGCUUCGCCAAAUGGUGAGGCAUUUGGAGUUGCCUCAAAGGAAGCUCAGCGCUUGGACGGAAGUGCUGAAGACGCCGAAGCCCGUCUAUCUGUGGCCUGUGUGAACAACAACUGUGCAGUUUCACUGCUGAGAAAAUAAGGCCAAACCCCGAGAAAAUGCAUUCGGCACUGAAACGCAACCAUGACUACUUCGGUCCGUUUCUUUUCGGAAGCAGCAGCUCAGUU